UGUCAAGAGUCAACGGCGCCUGUUUGGCGAGCAGAUUUCUUUUGCCUAGCGAUAGGUGAAGGAAAAUG
rfam:Chelativorans sp. BNC1 plasmid 1, complete sequence.